UACGUAGGGUGCGAGCGUUGUCCGGAAUUAUUGGGCGUAAAGGGCUCGUAGGCGGUGUGUCGCGUCGGCCGUGAAAACCUGGGGCUUAACUCUGGGCGUGCGGUCGAUACGGGCAUCACUGGAGUUCGGCAGGGGAGACUGGAAUUCCUGGUGUAGCGGUGAAAUGCGCAGAUAUCAGGAGGAACACCGGUGGCGAAGGCGGGUCUCUGGGCCGAUACUGACGCUGAGGAGCGAAAGCAUGGGUAGCGAACAGG
rnacentral:rRNA from 1 species